GACGAACGCUGGCGGCGUGCUUAACACAUGCAAGUCGAACGGAAAGGCCCUGCGUUUGUGGGGUGCUCGAGUGGCGAACGGGUGAGUAACACGUGAGUAACCUGCCCUUGACUUUGGGAUAACUUCAGGAAACUGGGGCUAAUACCGGAUAGGAGCUCCUGCUGCAUGGUGGGGGUUGGAAAGUUUCGGCGGUUGGGGAUGGACUCGCGGCUUAUCAGCUUGUUGGUGGGGUAGUGGCUUACCAAGGCUUUGACGGGUAGCCGGCAUGAGAGGGUGACCGGCCACAUUGGGACUGAGAUACGGCCCAGACUCCUACGGGAGGCAGCAGUGGGGAAUAUUGCACAAUGGGCGGAAGCCUGAUGCAGCAACGCCGCGUGCGGGAUGACGGCCUUCGGGUUGUAAACCGCUUUCGCCUGUGACGAAGCGUGAGUGACGGUAAUGGGUAAAGAAGCACCGGCUAACUACGUG
rnacentral:rRNA from 1 species